GGAUAUCAACCAGCCAGGAUAUAUCAAGUUGCAGUGAGACUAGUUCCCUAGUGUUGAGUCUGGAGGAGGCAGCCCAGUAGGAGGAAAAGGGUCCCCAAAACAGGCAAAAGAGUCAGAGGUAGCCUUUGCUUUCAACUGUUAGGAGUCCCACAAGAAGACCAAGCUACACAACUGUUACAUAUCUACAGAAAGCCUAGGUUCCUACGUUGCUUUGUCCCAUCCCCCACAGCACCAGGCUACUCAUUGUCUCCUCUCUCCUACUCCUGCUGUGUCUCUUCCUCACCCACCCUUUUCUUCUGGAUGGCCUGCAG
rnacentral:lncRNA from 1 species